UACGUAGGGGGCAAGCGUUGUCCGGAAUUAUUGGGCGUAAAGCGCGCGCAGGCGGUUAAUUAAGUCAGGUGUGAAAGGCUACGGCUCAACCGUAGAGUUGCAUUUGAAACUGGUUAACUUGAGUGCAGGAGAGGUAAGUGGAAUUCCCGGUGUAGCGGUGGAAUGCGUAGAGAUCGGGAGGAACACCAGUGGCGAAGGCGGCUUACUGGCCUGCAACUGACGCUGAGGCGCGAAAGCGUGGGGAGCGAACAGGAUUAGAAACCCUAGUAGU
rnacentral:rRNA from 1 species